UAGAGGAGAGGAAGGGGCUUGGAGAAAGUGAGACAUGGCUCAGCCCUUGGGAGAUCAAGGCAGAGCAGGCCCAAGAGGUCCCAAGCUCCUCCUACCACAUCAGGCUCCUGAUCACAGUGGCUGGUCAGGAAGCUUUCACUUCCACGUGGUAGAAGAGCAGUUCCAAUGAGCUAAGCAAAAUAGGCACUUCAUGGGCUUUUAUGUCCUUUGAAAUUAAGAAAUGGAAUUGGCAUCAGGCAUAGCUGUAUAUAGGAACUCAAAGGUGAUCACUGGGAUUCUUUUUUCUCAUUUCCAUCUCUUGACUCUACCUUUCUCUUUAUGUUGUUUUCCUUUUCUCUGCCAGCAAGAGGCUUCACCAGGGGGCCAUAGAAGACAGCCAUCAGCAAGCCUGACACAGGUACAGCAGUACCUGACCUUGAAGGCAAUAGACAACCUUUUCCACCUGGAAAUGUCUGGGACCUACUGUAUUUUAUGAAAACAGAACUCCACGUCUCCAAGGGUACAGGCCUCCUGCAACGGAGAAGAGACCCCAAGCAAAGUGGUCUUUCCAGGAGACAUCACAUUCAGUCAUCACAGUGACUCUCCUCUCAUCUCCUCCUCACAGCAUUGGACUUGCCUUUAAGAUCUCCAGUUAAGAACAGCUUCAGUUGGAGGGUGGCACUGGGGGAUGAGAUGGAAGCCAGAAUUUGCCCUCCUAAAUCUGGCCCGAGCGAUAGAAGGCAUCUUUGGCCUGAAGAAGUGUUAUACAAAGAAAAUCCUAAUUGCUACAGCUAAGUAAUUAGAAGAUCCAACCUAUAAAUCAUAGGGCGGCCACCUCUUUAAUUAUGUGCACAGUUCGGUCGGUGACUAAUGCAUCUUUUUUCCUAGAUGAGCGUAUUUAAUAUCCUGUGAUGGCAACAAGUUUCAAGCUGAUUUGUCGUUAUUUUGUUUGGUCAGAUGAUUUUUCUGCAUUUUAAUGUGUUUUGUGGUUACAUAUUUGCUAUGAACAAACAAUGCUUUUCCCAGGUAGUACGCUCUAAAAUGCGGGCUGCAAGAUUUGUUUACUAUUCUUUUAGGCCUCUCAGAAAUCAAACAACAUUAUGUACUUAUUUUUAAGUAGCUGCACUAAAAUCUUAAACAGUCUCCUUAGAGCCCUUCGUUCUCUGGCAGUAUGUACACAUGCAAUAAAAUAUUUGAAAAAUUAUCAAUUUCCUUGAGUCUAUUUCUGACACCUGGAUAGGAAGCUUUGAUAUGAAACUCUAAUCACCAUAAGACCAGCAGCAUCCACUAACUGUGAGAUGGUAUCUGACUUCAGAGGUGCUAAGGACAACACAUUCUAGAAUGCACAUGGUAUUACAUUAGGCAUUCCACUGAAAUUUUAAAAAGUGGUAAUAAUAAUAAACAGAACAUUUUAAACAUGCACUCUAAAGGCUUAUGCUUGGAUCCAGUGAAGUGGUGGAAAGACUCCAGGCCCUGGAAUCAGACAGACUUGGGUUCAAAUCCCAGCUCUGUCUCUUAUUAGCUGUGUGGUGCAAGGCAAGUUUGUCUAACUUCACUGGAAGCAAAUUCCAGUAAAAAAGGAAUCAGCUCACCUUCUUUGCACAGUUUCUCUGAGGAUGAGAGACUUUGCCUAAUGAGGCCCCCAGCCUGGUACCUGGGAUACAGUGGGUGCUCAGUGAGUGCUAGCUCCUAGUGAAACUGUAACCCGAAUAAAUUUGGGCCUUCCUGCUCACAGAAUCCAAAAGAAACACGAAUCAGAUUUUGGAAGCCCUGGUGGUAAUGUGCACAUCCCUGCAGCACUCUUUCUUGAAUGGCAGUAGAGGGGAAAUCGCACGCAGACACAUGCACACACACACACACACACACACACGCAGUCAAACUUCUAAAAUAGCCUCUAUUCCUCUUUCUCUCCAAAGUGCCCCAAAUUAUUUUUCUCCCUUUUGAAUUUCAAAACUCCAGCCCCACACCAGUUCCCCAAGGCCCCUCUGAUCCCUUUGGCUCCCUUCUCCCCAUCCCCCUCAGGGGCUUUCUGUUUUCCGGCCAAAACUCCACCCUCCCUGGCACAGGGAGAGUCUCCUGCUCUCAGCUCUGCAACUCCGUCCCUGGCCUCAUCUCAGCAAAAGCAAGACCAGGG
rnacentral:lncRNA from 1 species